GAUGAACGCUAGCGGUGUGGAUAAGGCAUGCAAGUCAAGGGGGUCCUGCAUUUUGUAGGACAACCGGCGAACGGGUUAGUAACACGUAGAUACAUACCGCCUACACAGGCAUAACUUCGCGAAAGCGGAGCUAAUUCCUGAAGUUCCGCCUUAGGCGGAUAAAGGUUUCGAGCAAUCGAUUCCAGUAGGUGAAUGGUCUGCGGCUUAUCAGCUUGUUGGUGGGGUAAUGGCCUACCAAGGCAAUGACGGGUAGGGGACAUGAGAGUGUGAUCCCCAACAAUGGGACUGCGACACGGCCCAUACUCCUACGGGAGGCAGCAGUCGAGAAUAUUUCGCAAUGGGCGAAAGCCUGACGAAGCGACACCGCGUGUUUGAAUAAGCCCUUCGGGGUGUAAAGAACUUUUCUCCAUGAACAAGCUUCGGCUGAGUGUAGUGGAGGAAUAAGAGGAGGCUAAUCACGUGCCAGAAGCCUCGGUAAUACGUGAUCCUCAAGUGUUAUCCGGAUUUAUUGGGCGUAAAGCGUCCGUAGGCGGUUAAAUAAGUCUUUGGUUAAAGCCCCAUGGCUCAACUAUGGGAAUGCCAGAGAUACUGUUUGACUAGAGGGUGUUAGGGGCUGAUGGAACGGUCGGUGUAGGGGUGGAAUCCGUUGAUAUCGACCGGAACACCAAAAGCGAAGGCAUUCAGCUAAGACAACCCUGACGCUGAGGGACGAAAGCGUGGGUAGCGAAAGAGAUUAGAUACCUCUGUAGUCCACGCCGUAAACGAUGAACACUGGCUAUUUGAAGUGUCGACCCUUCAAGUGGCGAAGCUAACGCGUUAAGUGUUCCGCCUGGGAAGACGGUCGCAAGACU
rnacentral:rRNA from 1 species